rnacentral:lncRNA from 1 species
CCUGAGUAGUUUGGUCAACGGUAUGAUCUUCAAGAUUGAUGGGCUAUUCUUCCAGUUGGUGACUUGAUCUUUAAGGAUUUGAUUCAAGGGUGGUGAAACGGCACAUGCAGCCCACAACGCCUAGCAAGUCGACCUAAGAAUUUGAAGGUCAAAAUGAGUCCUCCACCCAGAGUGAUUGCAAACCUGAUGAUAUGAGAUACUUUUAAUUUUGAAGAAGUAGCGGAUGAAUCG